rnacentral:lncRNA from 1 species
CUACUUUAGUAAUUAUUUAAAGCUUUAACAAUAAAAGCGAGACUUAAUUAGAAAGAGUCAAUUUUAGGUAUAGUGCUUGAGGUAACAUUGUAUUGGGCUAUACAAGAAAAAAGUGGGUUGAUGAGAGGCUGUAUCAAAAGAUACCUAUCAAACAUGGUGAUGAGUAAUUAUCCAUCAUUAAUGAAAGAAGAAGAUUAGCAUCCACACC